CAAAAGAAUCCCAAUUAUUUAAAUUUAUGGUUACAUUUGAUAAAUAUAUGUACUUAUAUAUACACAUAUAUAAAUUGGUACUUGCGUUAUUAAUUGGAUGAUAUUGGAAUGAGGCAAGAAAACGCAUAUACGAAACACGUUCCCAACAAUUCCUGCUUUACAGCUUAAAAUCUGAAUGGUGAUCUAUAUGUUUGUAUAUAAUCUGGAAUUACAACUAAACUAUACAUAACUAGUACAGACGAAUAAAAAAAUAAUGUAUUUUAUUCAUCAGUUUUCAAAAUCCAAUUACUUAUUUUAAAAGAUAUAUAAAAAAUCGUGAUGAUCAUUGUUCAGGAAUCUCAUUUUAAAUUCAACUGGAUUUGGCAAUAAUAACCGGAAUUGACAAAAAACUCUAUUGAUGCGUUACCGAAAUAGGUUUAAACUGUGUUAUAUUAUAUUCAUUUGAUGUCACUAGUGAUGAGUCAUUGCUUUACAACUCCCGGAUUUGAUACAUUAAAAAACCAACCAUUCUUAUCAACUGGAUUAGAAUUAAUUUAGAUUUCAAAGAUCGAUUGUACUAAUAACUUGACUGUGAUUUGAAGUGAACUGCACUGUUAAAUUGAUCACAUGAGCACAUAUUGAGAUGUGAAAUCAUCGUGAUUUUCAACUUAACAGUUUUUACAGGACUUAACUCUGUCUGUUUCCAAAGUUUUCAAUUAACUAUUAGAAAACUUUUAUUUACACCAUAAACUUCCCCAGGACUUUGAAAUGGGAUGGAGAGAAGGCUUUAGAAAUAAAUUUUUGCCUGUAAAACAAAGGAAAUCAGUUUGAAUUUUGACCUCCUUUGGUGUUACACCUAUUCUUCUCUAUGAAUAUUGAAAAGUGUAUUUGAAAUAAUUUAUUAAUCUCCAAAAUGUACUUAAUGGCCACUGGUUUGUCGUUGGGAUCACUGAUAUAGCUGCCAAUAUUUUUAAUAUUAUGCAGCAUUUAAAAUAAAUUUUUUAAGAAACAUUAUCGGUGGCGAAUCUAUAGCAGUUUCUGGAACACUGCAGUACAAUUCUGGGGUCUGUGAUUCGUUAAAAUUGAUCCUUAUUGGAGAUACUGGGAGACGACUACUCUAGUUAUUAAAUUAAUAAUAAUAACUAUUAAUGUUAAAUUAAAGUGACUCAACUGA